GAUGAAGAACGUAGCGAAAUGCGAUACUUGGUGUGAAUUGCAGAAUCCCGUGAACCAUCGAGUUUUUGAACGCAAGUUGCGCCCGAAGCCAUUAGGCCGAGGGCACGCCUGCCUGGGCGUCACACGUCGUUGCCCCCCCAUCUACUCCUUCGGGAUUGCGGGGGGCGGAUGAUGGCCUCCCGUGCGCCUCGUCGCGCGGUUGGCCUAAAUGCCAAGUCCUCGGCGACGCACGCCACGACAAUCGGUGGUUGCGAAACCUCGGUUGCCCGUCGUGUGCGGUCGUCGCGCAUCGAGGGCUCGAAAAAAUUGCCGGGCUUCGGCUCGACUUUCAACGCGACCCCAGGUCAGGCGGGGUUACCCGCUGAAUUUAAGCAUAUCAAUAAGCGGAGGA
rnacentral:misc_RNA from 1 species